rnacentral:rRNA from 1 species
UACGGGGGGAGCAAGCGUUGUUCGGAUUUACUGGGCGUAAAGGGCGCGUAGGCGGUCAGCACAAGUCAGUUGUGAAAUCUCCGGGCUUAACUCGGAAAGGUCAACUGAUACUGUGCGACUAGAGUGCAGAAGGGGCAACUGGAAUUCUCGGUGUAGCGGUGAAAUGCGCAGAUAUCAGGAGGAACACCGGUGGCGAAGGCGGGUCUCUGGGCCGAUACUGACGCUGAGGAGCGAAAGCCAGGGGAGCGAACGGG